rnacentral:tRNA from 1 species
AAAGCUAAAAGCAUUUAAUUUUUAAUUAAAAUAAGAAAAAUAUAAUUCUCUAAUAA